AUAUUAGGCUGGUGCAAAAGUAAUUGCAGUUUUUGCCAUCACUUUUAAUUUUUGCCAUUAAAAGUAAUGGCAAAAACCACGAUUACUUUUUCACCAACCU
rnacentral:miRNA from 10 species